AACGAACGCUGGCGGCAUGCCUAACACAUGCAAGUCGAACGAGAUCUUCGGGUCUAGUGGCGCACGGGUGCGUAACGCGUGGGAAUCUGCCCUUUGGUUCGGAAUAACAGUUGGAAACGUCUGCUAAUACCGGAUGAUGACGAAAGUCCAAAGAUUUAUCGACAGAGGAUGAGCCCGCGUAGGAUUAGCUAGUUAGUGUGGUAAAGGCGCACCAAGGCGAAGAUCCUUAGCUGGUCUGAGAGGAUGAUCAGCCACACUGGGACUGAGACACGGCCCAGACUCCUACGGGAGGCAGCAGUGGGGAAUAUUGGAAAAUGGGCGAAAGCCUGAUCCAGCAAUGCCGCGUGAGUGAUGAAGGCCUUAGGGUUGUAAAGCUCUUUUACCCGGGAUGAUAAUGACAGUACCGGGAGAGUAAGCUCCGGCUAACUCCGUGCCAGCCGCCGCGGUAA
rnacentral:rRNA from 1 species